rfam:Zea mays cultivar B73 chromosome 1, whole genome shotgun sequence.
AUACAUUUCUCAGUCUUUUAGCUAAGAUAAAGUGUAAUAUUUGUUCUCAUCAGUUUAAUACCUCAUAUAUGAACUAUAUGUCUACUAUAAUAUGAUUUUUUUAUUUAAUAGAUAUCAAAUAUAAUUGUGUACCGUCGCACCAUAGACACAUUAUACUAGUCUAAAGUAUUAAAACUUGACCUGGUUUCGGCGCCUCCCCG